rnacentral:lncRNA from 1 species
GAAGAUCUGCUGAGGGAGAGAGAGAGAGCGAGAGAGCGGCUGGGAGUGAGAGAGGGAGAGGGGGGGCCUAGAGGCGGCGGCUGGGCGUGGGAGGGAGCGGUGGCGGUCCAAGGAAGGUAUGCACGGUCGUUGAUGAUCUAGCGCCACCGUUAGCAGAGAAAGAAGGUGAGAUGAGUUUCCGGAGCAGGAAGAGGAAAAUAAUUUUGAGACAGAUCCAGAAUUUGAAAACAAAUAUGGAGAGAGAGAGAGAGAGAUAAAAGUGAUUCAAUUUGAAUUUCAAAAGUUUCCAAUUCCCACAAUUUGUCGAAUUCGUGCUCCUUGACUUUACUGACAAACAGGGAGAAAACGGGGAAGGUUAAAGCAGUUCUGUGGUUCUUGCAAGGAGAAAACGGGGAAGGAAACAGAACACAGUCAAAACAUAUACAUAUCCAC